rnacentral:rRNA from 1 species
UACGUAGGGUCCGAGCGUUGUCCGGAAUUAUUGGGCGUAAAGGGCUCGUAGGCGGUUUGUCGCGUCGGGAGUGAAAACACGGGGCUUAACCCCGUGCCUGCUUCCGAUACGGGCAGACUAGAGGUAUGCAGGGGAGAACGGAAUUCCUGGUGUAGCGGUGAAAUGCGCAGAUAUCAGGAGGAACACCGGUGGCGAAGGCGGUUCUCUGGGCAUUACCUGACGCUGAGGAGCGAAAGUGUGGGGAGCGAGCCGG